rnacentral:misc_RNA from 1 species
GAAAUGCGAUAAGUAAUGUGAAUUGCAGAAUUCAGUGAACCAUCGAAUCUUUGAACGCACAUUGCGCUCCUUGGAAUUCCGAGGAGCAUGCCUGUUUGAGCGUCAGUAAAUCUCCCUCAACCCAAAGGGUUGGUGAUGGAUCAUGCGGGCAGUCCCGCCGAUCCGAAUUGCAUUAAGCCCGGCCACAUCCUUGCGGCUAUCAGCGUAAUAGGUCAAACCGUCUCGCUGGCUAUCGCCCUUGGAGGAGUGCUGCGCCUUAAUCUAUAUUAUUUGAACUUGACCUCAAAUCAGGUAGGGUUACCCGCUGAACUUAA